rnacentral:rRNA from 1 species
CCUACGGGUGGCUGCAGUGAGGAAUAUUGGUCAAUGGCCGUAAGGCUGAACCAGCCAAGUCGCGUGAAGGAAGAAGGAUCUAUGGUUUGUAAACUUCUUUUAUAGGGGAAUAAAUGUAUCCACGUGUGGCUCUUUUCAUGUACCCUAUGAAUAAGCAUCGGCUAACUCCGUGCCAGCAGCCGCGGUAAUACGGAGGAUGCGAGCGUUAUCCGGAUUUAUUGGGUUUAAAGGGUGCGUAGGUUGUUGUUUAAGUCAGCGGUGAAAGUUUGUUGCUCAACCAUAAAAUUGCCGUUGAAACUGGAAGACUUGAGUGUGUUUGAGGUAGGCGGAAGGCGGGGUGUAGCGGGGAAAUGCAGAGAUAGCACGCAGAACUACGAUUGCGAAGGCAGCUUACUAAGCCAUAACUGACACUGAAGCACGAAAGCGUGGGGAUCAAACAGGAUUAGAUACCCUAGGAGGC